GGGGCUGUAGCUCAGCUGGGAGAGCGCUUGCAUGGCAUGCAAGAGGUCGUGGGUUCGAUCCCCAUCAGCUCCACAA
rnacentral:tRNA from 1 species